rnacentral:rRNA from 1 species
GCCUACAGCAACACCACUCUGAAAGCGCCUGAUCUCGGAAGUGAUCCAGGGCCGAGCCUGGUUAGUAUCUUGAUUGGAGACCGCCUGGGAAUACCAUGUGUCGUAGGCU